UUCGCUCAGAGGCUCUGCAGAGCGGGGUUCUGGGCAGACGCGACAUUGCCCCUGCUCCGAGGGGCUGCCGGGUCACCUGGACGCUGUGCGAUGGUAGCACAGUACAGCGAGGCGCAGCAAACCCUCGGCAUGCAGGGACCAGGACCCUUGUGGAACCGGCUUCGAGGACGUGUGACAGAUUCUCGGGGAAAGGGAGGAGUCUAAAGAAGCUCAGAGCCUUAGACCGGUGACCUCUUCAUUCUGCUCACUGCUGCCCUGGACACCCAGGGCUGCCCAGUAAAUGGCAGGUAGAGUCUGCAUUUGCUCCUCUGGAACUUGGGCUGCACUUAGUGAUUUGUGAAACUGCAGAACGUGGGGAUGAACACAGCCUGGAGCUUCUGACAUCAGGUCACAGGUGCCUUGCAACUUCUGCCUGGGCCUCUGGGAAUUCCAGCUCUUGGAGACCCAAGCCACCAUCAAGUUAAACUCCUCUGGGAUGGCUGUGCUGGAAAGCCUGGGAGAAACCACAGGGAGAAGGGUGUCCUCCUGACUUUUAGCUGUCCCCAGCCAUUUGAGUCACAGGCUCCAUAUAUAGAACAGAGAUCCUUGCUGAUCCCCACUGGGAAAGCAAAAUAA
rnacentral:lncRNA from 1 species